rnacentral:rRNA from 1 species
GGCGAACGCUGGCGGCGUGCCUAAUACAUGCAAGUAGAACGCUGAAGGAGGAGCUUGCUUCUCUGGAUGAGUUGCGAACGGGUGAGUAACGCGUAGGUAACCUGCCUGGUAGCGGGGGAUAACUAUUGGAAACGAUAGCUAAUACCGCAUAAGAGUAGAUGUUGCAUGACAUUUGCUUAAAAGGUGCAAUUGCAUCACUACCAGAUGGACCUGCGUUGUAUUAGCUAGUUGGUGGGGUAACGGCUCACCAAGGCGACGAUACAUAGCCGACCUGAGAGGGUGAUCGGCCACACUGGGACUGAGACACGGCCCAGACUCCUACGGGAGGCAGCAGUAGGGAAUCUUCGGCAAUGGACGGAAGUCUGACCGAGCAACGCCGCGUGAGUGAAGAAGGGUGUCGGAUCGUAAAGCUCUGUUGUAAGAGAAGAACGAGUGUGAGAGUGGAAAGUUCACACUGUGACGGUAUCUUACCAGAAAGGGACGGCUAACUACGUG